rnacentral:tRNA from 2 species
GUCCUCGUAGCUCAGCAGGAUAGAGCAUCAGAUUCCUAAUCUGAGGGUCGCAGGUUCGAAUCCUGCCGGGGACACCA